ACAGCCUUCCCCACAUCUAUUUGUUCAGGAAGCCCUUUAUUCCGAGAGCCUCUCAAAGGAUGCCAGUGGAAUGGGAAAUAAUAACUGGGGAAAUGCUGGGCCAGGGGCUUUUCUGGCUGUUCUUACCUCAGGCAUGUCUCUUCUUGGGGUGAGUAGAUGGAUGGAUGGAUGGACAGACGGACAGAUGAGCAAAUGAGUUAAGGAAAAACAAGCUGUUCUCAACAGAAU
rnacentral:lncRNA from 10 species